ensembl:lncRNA
GUAGAGGGCUUGCCCAGCAUGUCCUAGUCGCUGGGUUUAAUCUUUGGUACUGGAAAAAAAAGGGGUGGGGGAGAAAAAGAAGAAGCUUAAAGCUUGUUACGGGACUGUGGGAACUCAGUGACGCUAAUGAGGGUAUAAAGGCUGGGCGCAGAGGAGACCGAGGGAGUAGUGAGGGCUUUCGCUUUCCCCCAGCCUCAAGAAAGAGGAAUUCAGGGUCACUCCGGACGCGCCCUCCUUGCUCCUCCCAAUCCCAGGCCAGCGGCCCAGGUCCCGGGGCCUCACCAGCCCACGCCCGUCCUCGCAGCCCCAGGCUGUGCCUCAUUCUGGCUCCAGGAGAGCAGCGUUCAUGCAGCCACAGUGUGGAAACCGGAGCGUCUACCCACGGCCCGUCUGUUACCAGGUAGGGGGUCCCGCGGGAUUCCCUCCGGAUCCUCGGUGUCCUGAACACAGAAGUGAACGAGACAAGACACACGGAAAAGGCGGCGCAAGCGUACAUUUAGUGAAGGCCGAAAAGAUCACGCUCUGCGGAGUAAGCCGGCGCGUGAGAAGGCGCACAGCGCCCAGGCAAGCGGACAGGGGUUCUUUUGUAUCCACAGUUCCGGAGUUGGCUUCUGCCAGUGCAAAGAAGGCACCAGGACAGUUGUCAAAAACCCACUUGGCCCGGAACCAGGUGUAGACUGCGCUAGGCAAAAACUCACGAGACUUCCUGCCAGACAGCAACAGGACUGAAAAACAGCACUUUUCUGAUUGGUCCUACGAACCGCACCUAGUUCCCAGGAAGGACUGAAAAUACCGCCUUCUGAUUGGGUCUAUGGAUAGCGCUCGGGAGCCCUGGGGUCCUCCUGGGCCCUGUGUCCUGUGCAUGUCGCUGGAUUUUAUGACCCUCGACUCCUCCUCCUCCCGUAGUGGCCGCUUCGCCCAGCCCUGAUCUUCCGUUGCGCACCUCACAGAGAACUCCGUUCGGCGCGCUUGCCAUUGGAGCAGGACAUGAGGAGAGCAUGAAGCAGAAGCAGAGGAAGAGCCUAGGGAGCCCCAGGAAGGGAUUUCCUUGCGAAUGGGGUUCAGGGCACGAGGGCGAGGGGUGGGGGUUGAGUGGCUAGAGAGGCGCUUCGUCCUGGGGACAGCAGAAGGAACCGCAGAGCCUGUCCCUCCUCGUACACCGAGCCCAGCGAUCCCUACGGGGCUCAGCGAGAUCAUGAAGGUGGAACGAAUUAGAAAAGCGCCCUGCUCUAAGGAAUUCUCACUGAUCAGGGGAUGAAAGGGAGAUGCCCUUCCACCACGGCGAAAGCCUGCCCGAGCUCCCCAUCCUCCAGCCUCGGCUUCUCCUUGGAUCCUGCAUGGCCUGAAUGGCAGAACAGAGCCCAAGGUACCCCUGCGGCCCCCAAACCGAGUCCGGUGUAGCCGAGUGGCACACGGGCGAGCAGACCUGGGACACCAGCGGUCGUGUGCAGGCAGAAGGGCGAGUCUAACAGCUCCUCCCAGAGACCCUGGGUAGAUCUCCAGAGGCUCCCACGGGCGCUCAGAGACCUGCCGGUGCCACCUCCUUCUGCCGAGGCAGGGUGGCUGCGCUAUGCGGCUGCUCCCCAGCCCCAUCUCCUGCCCCAGGGCCUCGCUCUUCCCCUGGGGAUGUCUGGCCUUUCCCAUCCUUAUUUUUCAUUCUCUGCAUUUUCUGCGUUACUCCUUAAAAAGAAAAUCUUGCUGCAUCAUAAGUUUUUUUUUUAGUAACCCACACAGGUCAUAAAUAAAUAAACGAGUCCUGUUUCAUUUCUCAAAGUUUUCAUGGCAAAAACUAUCAAUUCACUUCUUUUCUGAGGAUCCUUCUUUCUCCUUUGUCUCUUGAGCCAUCUUUUUCAAGCCCCAGUUCCCAGGAAUUCUAUUUGUAAACCAUCCACCUGCUCCAUGGAAACUGAAAUGCCGUUUAUAUGGUUUUGAUGCAAAAAUAAGGAAGUGAGAGCUUUUGGACAAUUUGUUUGUUAUUGGUGGACCUUAAGUGCCAGAGAAUGGAUAUUAGUUAAUCGCUAACAGGAAAGACCAAUAAACAAAAGUCCUGUUUUCCUUUCUACUAUGUAAGAUAAUUAUUUGUGCUUUUAAGUAACAAUUGGGCCUUAAUCAGUGCUGAUGGAAUGAAAACAGAAGCAAUAAUUAAAUGUGGGUCUUUGAUAUGAAAUGUCAAAGAAUAAAAUUCAAAAGUAGUUUUGGAACAGAUGUUUAACAAUCUUUCUUGCCCCAUACAGCGAAUUCCCCAUACCUUAAAUUCUUCCCACUUUCUCACUUCUCCUCUUUUUUCCUGUCCCUCUGGUACUGAUGAUCAACCUCAGGGCCUUUGCACUGAGCUACAUCCCC